rnacentral:rRNA from 1 species
UGGUCAAGUUAUUAAGGGUGCAGGGCGGAUGCCUUGGCACUAGGAGCCGAUGAAGGACGUGAUAAGCUGCGAUAAGCUUCGGGGAGUUGCACGUAAACUUUGAUCCGAAGAUUUCCGAAUGAGGAAACUCACUUAGAGUAAUGUCUAAGUAUCAUUAAGUGAAUACAUAGCUUAAUGAGGGGAACUCAGGGAACUGAAACAUCUAAGUACCUGAAGGAAGAGAAAGAAAUUCGAUUCCGUAAGUAGCGGCGAGCGAACGCGGAUUAGCCCAAACCAA